rnacentral:rRNA from 1 species
CACCUGAUCCCUUCCCGAACUCAGAAGUGAAACCUCUUAGCGCUGAUGGUAGUGUGGGGUUACCCAUGUGAGAGUAAGUCAUCGCCAGCUU